GAAAAAUUGAUGCCCACUGACAUUCAUCACCACUUGCUGAAUGUUUAUGGAGGCCCGACAGUGGAUGUCAGCACAGUGAUGGGGUUGGAUGGUGCAUUUCAAGCAGUGGUGACAGCAGCAGUGGAUCACGUCCACUGGCGCAGAUUGUUAUGAGCAUGGCAUGAGGGCAUGCAAAAAUGCAUAGCUGAUGGUGGUGACUACACUGAAAGAGUGUCUUAUUUCUAUGGGAAUGGAUAGGAGGCAUUACUUUCAGAGUGACCUAUGUACUAAUUCUCUUGACAAAGGGUAACACGAGUGUCUAUUACAGGACUGGUUGUCUGACGAAGCCCCAUGUGGUGUUGGAGUUCUCCUCAGAGAUCUGAAUUGCGGCUCUCCAGCAUGAGAUGCUAUUUCUGAGAUACUCUUCAGGAACAAGCCCAUCAGGCAGGAAUAGCCAGAGCAUUUCCCAGUUUAGAUUCACCCAGGAAAUCAGUAGAUGCUUGGAGCUGGACUGCAUGCAUCCCCGCAGCAUCAGUACAAGGGCUGAGGCCACGCUACUGCAGAGCUGCCAACUGUAGAUGACAAAAGCAGAGCUGUCCCUGAAGAGCAGUGUGAAGGCUGAAUGUGGCACGUUCCAAGUCAGGGGAGCAGAAGAGGAAAGAAAGACAGUCCAUCACCAGGAGUUGCGCUGCCAGUAUUUUUCCACUUACUCUUUUUACAUUUUACAUUCAAACACUGUCCCAAAGGUUUAAGAGUUUCACUGUCUAAUGACUAAAUGUUAAGGCUUGUUUAGCGCACGCAGUUUUGGCAUGAAGCCAGCGCAAAUGUAUUACAAUGAGAUUCUAUUCUGUCUCCAAGUUAAUUAUUACACCGUAUGUUUCCUUUACAUUAACAGAAUGGCUCUCUCUUACCCUCUGUAGAGUUUCUGGAUGUCAGUAUAAAAUUCCUUUAGUGUUUUAGUAGAGAUCUUACUCUCUGUGAAGAUUUAGUGGAUGAGAGUCUCAGGGAAGCAGUUCAAGUGAAUUUUCUAGGUGCUCUAACAGGCAGCAAGGUUUCUCAGCUUUAUUCUUAGGCAAGCCCAUUGAACAGGGCCUUUGAUGGUCCCCCAGCACUUCCUUAUCUCUAAAUUGGAGAUCUGGGUUUGAAGAGUGGGCUGUUCAGUGGAUAAAUAAUUGGUUGGAAGGUCACAGUCAGAGGGUUGUGGCCAAAGGCUCUGUGUCCAGGUGGAGGCCUGUAAUGAGCUGUGUCCCCCAGGGGUCCACCUUGGGUCCAGUACUCUUUAACGUCUUCAUCAGUGACAUGGAUGAUGGGAUCGAGUGCACCCUCAGCAAGUUUGCUGAUGACACCAAGCUGAGUGGUGUGGUUGAUGCAGCAGAAGAAAGGGAUGCCACCCAGAGGGCCCUUGAUAAACUUGAUCAUGUAGCUUCUUCCUGUUUCAUCUCUCUGCUUUGCCAUGGGACAAAACAAGAAUGUUCUGAGCAAAGCAUGAGGGACAGUUGCAGCUACAUUUAUGGCAGUAUGGUCAGGUUGUGGUUGGACUCGAUGAUCUUGAAGGUCUUUCCCAGCCUGAGCAAUUCUAUGAUUCUAUGGGAGACAGAAAAUCAAGGUGCUGGUGGGUGGCUCAUCUGCACAGGGUGAAGUUAACUGCAGGGCUGCCAGGAGCAAAAAUUGGGAAGGGCUGCUUCUGCUGAAGAGCUGUGUGACUGACUAAACAUUAUAGAUCCUAUCAAACCACUGGGGACCACUGUGGGCGAAAUUUUCAGACUGCAUUGGAUUAUCUUCUCCAGGUGGAUGGACUGUUCCACCAUAAAUGAAAUUUUAAUACGAAAAACGUGUUUGUGUGGGGUAAUUGCUUCAGAGUAAAAUGAUUUUUAUUCAUGCUAAAGAAUUUGCAUGACUUAUGCUGGUGCAUUUGCCAAAAUAUUCAGGUCCAAAUGGAGGUUACAAAACUUUUUUGGUCUGGAACCGAAUGCACUCAAGCGCUGUUGUUUUUAUGAGUGUAUUGCUUUAAUACAACCUUACAGUUAAAUGGCAGUGCAUGCUGUGUUUAAGGGAUGUGCCUUUCUGACUAUGGACUCGUUUAGACUAACGGAGAGAGGAAUGUGAAUCAGGGGAGGGGUUGGGGGUUGUUGCUGAUGCCUAUGGCAGCAAAUGGGAUCUUCUUGGAGUUUGUUAACUCGUGAGAACUCCUAGGUGCUGUGCAGGAGUGAGCUCAGUGGACACGUGAAAGCGCAAUGACUUUUCUGCUACGGUUUCCCUCAGCUUUUUUUUUUUUUCUAGUGAUGAAGAGGUAUUUUGGCUGUGCUGCUCGUAGCCCUGCUUCAGGGCGGUAUUGCCAGGAUGACUGUUAGACGUGGUCAACCACUGCAUGGCAAAUGACGGAUGAUGACAGCUUUGAGAAUUAAACUUCACUUAGGCUGGUGUUCUGUGGUUUAAAAACAAAAGUCCGGAAAAUACCAAAUACCCACAGACAGCUUCCAAUUCCAGUGAUUUCUGUUUUCUCUCCUGUACUUUCUUAAUGAACAGAACCUAACAAGCUAAGGACUCUGAAAGCUACGGUUGUAGUUCAUUAGUUCUUUAAAACGCACUUCUAAUCUGAAAUCUUACACACCCUCGAUCAAGAAGUGUUAACAGUAACAGCCUGCAAAGGAUCGAUUUGUAAAGCUGUAAUCCCAGUUUUGAAGUUGGGGUUGUUGUUUCAGUGCAUUCACUUUUCUAUCCCCCUUUUUAUGAGGAUAGUCCUGAAAAGUAGACCUUUAAAAGCGCUUUUGAGCUUCAAGCGUUCUGCACAGAUGUGACUGGGAACCUUUUGACUCUGCUGACUUAUCCGUAUACGUUUUAAGCUUUACCACACACAGCAUUGACACCAUGGGCACAGCCACUGAGGGGCUGCCAUUCCCAUGUCUGCGGGCAGUGUGACUUCUUGCACAGAGCUUACAUGGCUGCAGUAUCAACGUCCCUGUAUAAAGGACACAAAGGAUUCUGACCGGACCAGUCCUGGGUGGGAUGAUCACAAAUGUUGCUUAGAGAUUGACCAAAGGGACAAUCUGGAGCUUUCAAACAGCGUGGUAGUCCUGCUCUGUGCUGGCUCUGGUAGCCCAUACUCCACUGUUUAGAAAUAAAGAAGCUGACAGUCUUCAAGAACACAGUAAUAUGAUACUAAUUUACAGUCUGCUGUGACUCACUGAUAUAAUUAGAAGCACAUUGUGUUUAUUUGUACUCCUAAAACCAAUGAGCUUAACUACCUCCUACUUUAGGAACAGUGCAGUACACCCUGUGUUUCAGUGGAUCACAAACAGAGGCCUGGCAUUUUCACACACAUCAUUUGUUUAUUUAAAAAAGGCAUAAUUCCCUUCCACACAUUAAUUCCCAAAUCAAUACAGAACAGUUUGUUCAUCGUGGGAGCUGAGGUAUCCGCUCAGCCUCAAACAAAAUUCUUGCAAAAAACAAACAAACAAACAAACAAACAACAACAACAACAAAAAAAAAAAAACAAAAAAACCACCACCCAAAAACCCAUGCUGGAAAAUGAUAAUCAGUUGCAACUAAUGGGUGAAUCAGAUUUUAUGUAUAUUUUGCUGAGACUGUUUACUGCAUGCAACUUCUGCUUAAAACCAAGGAAUCUCCCAGAGAAGCAGGCCCUGUAGGGGUGCCGAUGCCCUGCAGUCACACUGCUGUCCUAUGUCAGACUGAGGAGGGACUUCAGUUGAGUUUCUCAAGCCUCAGAAAUGCUGAAGUGUGCUGCUGUCAUGAGCAGCGUUGUGUCUGCUCUAUGCAGUGUGUUGAAACAGCUGGCAAAGUGAGAAUGUGACACACGAGACGGUAGGAAUGGGCGGUUUUGUGGGCUGCAGAUGAACAGUCAAAGUUUGGUUAUUUGCUCUGGCUGAUGUUUUGGUAGCUCUAGCAAGAGUCAGCCAGAAAGGGCCACCUUACAGUCUCCAUAUCCCUGUGGUAACGACGUUCAGCUGGUAUAAGAGGGAGCCAGUAGCCAAAUCCCCUCCCUGUGAGAGUCCUGUAUAGUUGAUAUUACUGUUUGCUCUGAGUUCCUUGUUCUCUGCUUCUUUGCAGGAAGUGUUGAAGGGUCUUGGUUUUCUCCCUCUAAGGGGCAGGAACAAUUUGCAAAGUUAGUUUCCAGUUUUUAUGAUUGAGAUUGAUUAUAUUCAAUGUCAGUAUACCCCCUACUUUAUAAUGAUGUGAUUUUGAAACGCAAUAUAUUAUAGUGCUUUCUUUUGUGUAAUAUGACUACAACACCAUAAAAACAUUUUGUUCCUCCAAAUCCAAGCAAACAAAACAUGUUCUGUAUUUACUUGAUGGUUUCAACCACAAGAAAUUUGACCUUCGUUGAAUUUGCUUAGUUUUUCUAUGGCUGAAAUGUCCAACGCAUUAAUUUAUCCUGUAUUGUAACUACUGUAACGUAUUUUUGUUUCAGUACACAGCAUCUCAAACAAAUGCAAAGUCUUUUUAUUUUUUACAUAAUGUGACAUAAACAUUUCAUACUUUAGAAAGGUAAAUAUUCUUAGUUUCAGGAGGCAGUUAAUAUCAUAUACGUAGAAAGGUGCCUGUGCUUAUGGAUACCAUUAUUUCUUUAUAUAAGGACUUACAUCUUUAUAUCAUUCUUUUUAUCCCUCUGUAUUAUUAUUAUUAUUGUAUCCUUUUAGUAUUUGUUGCUUGUAGGGUGAGGUUACAAGCGAGACUCUUCACUGACUUUGCUGACCAUCUAUGCAUUUGUUUGUGUUUGCCUUCGAUGGCAAGAAGUCUGGAGAUGAAAGCACUGACCACGGGGAAUGGGGGUUCCAAAAAAUAAGGCUUGUUUUUAAAAAUACAGAGCUGGACUUUCAGCAGUGCAAACUGUUUGGAGGUCUGUGCAGAAUCAGCAGGAGCCAUUAGUCAGUGUAGCUGUAUGCUGCAAAGGAGAACAACAAACCUAUAAGCUUUGUAAAAAUGCAAGUUUUAUGUAAAAUAUUGAAGCAGGAUAAGGGAUUUAACUCCAUGAUCAAAUGUGCCAAUUUUGCUCCGUGCAUUUCUGUACUUUUGUAUUCUUCUGGGAUCUCUGUAGUUCUGAAAGUCUCUUACCUGUUACAGUUUGCAUAAGCUCCAGAGAGUGCAGGGAUUAGCAAAGACUGUGGCAAAGAGUGCUCCAAACAAAGCUGUCUGCCUCUUCAAGGUUACUUGGAGAGCUUCUUCUUAUAAUAACAAACUCAGCAUCACUGUGAAACUACAAGCCAUACCAAACCACAAAUUGUAACGUUCCUAAGUGGUUCAAAAAAUGACUGUGAGUGCAAAGACAAGGUCGUGUUUAAAAGGCCAUGUUUGAAGGGCAUUUGAACACCCAACUUCUGUUGCCAUUAGUAUCAGUUCAUAAGGUUGUUCUGUGCUUCUCAUUCUGAUGUCAUAUUUUCUGCUUUAGAUAGCAGCAUCUGACUGCAAACAGUGAAAUUCUUAGAGAAUCAGCCUCAAAGUUUUCCCUUCACCAAGGAACAGUCCCUGCCUACAAGAGAGGCAAGAGUGCUUGUUCACUCUGCUGCAGAUAAACGUGCAGAGACUAGAGGCUCUGCCCUAACACAAGGACCUGCAGAUCUCCUUCUACCUACUUACCAGGGCUGGCUUCUGGAGUUUAGGAACAUAAAACAUAUUGAAGAUUUAAAUCAAGAAAAAAGAAGGGUUGGAGUACAUUCCUGCUGCCUGAAUUUCAAUGCCCAGAUCUUACUCCAGAUUUUGAGAGCAACAAUCUUUAACGCCAUUCUACUUGAGCAAGCGGAUCAGACCAGAUGGUCUCCAGAGAUCCCUGCCAACCUCAGCCAUUCUCUGAUUCCAUGUUAAAAUGUGGAAUGUAAAUAAGCCAGCAGAUGCUCAGAAUUCCCCUCCUCUCUUUUCCUGUUGAAAAUCUAUUUUCCUGUUGAAAAUCUAUUGUCCCAGUUCUAUGAUUGCUUAGACCCAUUCCUGUAAAUUAUUUAAGUUAAAAAUUCCAGUAAUGCUGUCUUGCUGCUAGUCAUCCUCACUCAUUUGCAGCUGGAAACAAAAGUGCCUUGCUUAAUGGAAUCUUUAAAUGACUGUGACUUCAGCUGUACGUGUUCACACAAGAUGUUUUUAAUAGAAUGCGUUGGAAGUGACCUUACAGUCCAUGACGCUGCCAGGGAAAACCCUGAAAAUCACUAUCUCAGCCUGCCCAGGGCCCCAUCCAAUCUGGCUUUGAUCAAAUGCCUUCAUGGACAAGACAUCCACAGCUUCCCUGGGCAACCUGCGCCAGCGCCAACAGCUCUACAUCCUUCUAUGUUGCAGGUCCCAGAGCUGAAUGCAGCACUCCAGGUAUGAUCUCACAAGAGUGGAGUAGAGAAUCGACUCCCUUGACAUGCUAGUAAGAUUUAUUUUCAUGCAGCCCAGGAUACAACUGGCUUCCUGGGCUGCAAGUGCUCAUGUUGUUGUCUCAUGUUCAGUUUUUUGUCCUCCAAUACCCUCAAACCCUUCUCCCCAGGGCUGCUCUCCACCAUUUAUUGCCCAGCCUGUAUUCAUAUUUGGGAUUGCCCUGAUGCAGGUGCAGAACCCUGUAUUUGACCUAAUUGAACUGCAUCUGGUUCACAUGGGCUACCUCUCAAGCCUGUCAUUGUCCCAUUGGAUGCUUCCACUGUCCUCCAACAUACUGACUUCACCACUCAGUGUGGUAUUGAUCUCAAACUUGCUGAAACAGCACCCAGUCCCAUGGUACAUGUCACUGAGAAGGACAUUAAAGGAACCAGUCUCAGUACUGACCCUUAAGAAAAGCACCAUCGCUGAUCUCCACCUUGACACUGAGCAGUUCCCAAUGGUUUGAGUGCAGCAGCUCCAUCUACCAUUUCUCUUGGGACCCUUGGUUGCAUCUCAUUAAGUCCCACAGAUUUGCACACAUACAAAUUUCUUAGAUGAUAGUCUUGAAUGUGAUCUCCUACGGCAGACAGUACUUCAUUUUUCCAUUCCAUGCAUUCAGGUGCUGUGAAUUGGGCACAGGUGGUACUAAGGGACCCAGCAUGGCAACGGAGAUGGCAAUAACAAGAAACACAGUUGUUGGGCAACAGUCAGCUUGGUCCCAUUUUCACAGACAUAAUGCUGAAAUGAAAUCACCCUUCCCCCAUGGUGAAGUCUUUAUUUUUUGCCCAUUAUGAUCACAGUACUUUAUUUUAAGGAUGAGACAAUGAACUUGGGGAAAUGUGAGAUAAUCCUUGGGAUGUACUCCAGUCUUUAUUGUUUCUACUAUGUUCUACUCACAGCAAACAACCAUUAAGGUAUUUGAUUCGGUCCCAGACUGUCAUUUUAUGAAGCAAUAAAAUAUGUUUAUGUAAUUGAAGUAUCUAUUCUCUGAGUAAAGGACAAGAUUAUUAAGUUGUAAAAGUAGCAUGGUGACUGAAAUGUAGUUAAUUUGCUUUUAUUUUUCUUUUUUAAAUGCAAGAAUUACUUUAACUAAUCUUUGAAAUCAUUCCCAGUUUGAGAAAUAAAAUUAAUCCAAGUGAACAUACGCAGUUCUAUUCAGAAAUAAAAUUCUGUAUAACUGCUUUUGGUCCAAAAGAUUAUUUGGGUCUAGUACUUUGUUUUUAAAAUUACUCAUUAUAUGAGCAAAUUCUCCAUCAAUAGUAUUGAUUCCACAAUUUAAAGAGUGCAAAUAAAGGCAAGGAACAAACUGAGAAUGGAGUAGAACACAGUAACUUAGUGUGCAUUCAAACGCAGUUAUUAAAGUGCAAGUUAAUUACAGAGAGGAAUUGGAGGGAACUGUCCGGAGAGGUCACUCCUGAAGCUGUAAAAGAAGGGAUAAGAUGGGAGCAAAUGUUUAUCUACAGGGUUAUUGCACACUGUGCAAUGUCUGCAUUGUUUUUCCCAUUUCACAAUGUAUUUCUGGUCCAGAGAAGCAGUAACCAAUUACUGUAUACCCAAAUGAUGCCACAUUAAUGGCACUGAUGUUGGUGGUCGUUUCUUGAACAGGUUGCAACCACUCUGUAUCUUAUUACAACAUUGGCCAGGGAUUACAGUGCAGAGACUUGCAGAAAGCUGGUGUGAGGUCUCCGCUUUGCCCAAUGUGCUUCCCAAACCAAAACGGAGAGGUGAUGUUAUUGUUAAGAAAAGAAAAAAUUAACAACAGCCCUAGAAAGAAACAUAUGGAAAGAGGAAUAAGAACAAGGAAGGACAGACUUAGAUUUGGCAGAAGGCUUCCCUUGGGGUAAUUAAUGUUUUGCAAAGGCAGCCGUCCUGGAAGCUGAAGAAACAUCUGUAAUGGUAAGCCCACAUCAAAUGAGUAUGAUACCAGUAAGCAAACCCAAGGAAGAGAAACUGGAGGUUUCCAGCUCAUGAUACUGCAUGUUAAACAUGAUUUCUCAGUUCCAACUAUGAGUUUUGUGAAUCCUAAAGACAUCCAUAUGGGUGACCAUUAAGCUACUGCCAUUUGAAUACAAACGUCUGCCUUUUCUUUGAAAUAUGUUAUUUCUGGUUUUACCAACGUCCAGCAAAGGUGUUGAGUGUGUCAGCUGUGUGAUGUUAUUCUAUGCUCUCUAAAAAUAUUCCACCAUAAAUGGCCAGUAUUGAUAUCACUUUUCACCAGCCCUGGAAUGACUUUCUUGCCUUCUGUGGUUCGUGCCAAAAUCAUUCUGUUUCUACAAUUUCAUUUUUCUUGUUACUCACAUGUCUGCAUUUUGAAAUGUCUUGAUUUAUGGAAAGGCUCUACUGAGGCUCAAGGUAUUUGGGCUGCAGUUCUAUAGAGAUUCAGGGUGUUGCUGGGAUGUAAAGACAUGCACUCUCUGUGCCAAGAUCACUCUUUGUGUCACCCACUGCACUGAAAUAGCCUUUGCUCUGAGUUUCCUGCUUAUAACCUCUGAGAUGCCAUCAGCUGGAGGAGAGAACGGAACAGUAGCCAUCUUAAAGGGAAAGAGAACGCUCUGUUAUAGUACAGGAAAGAAACACUUUGGAGUUCACAUUUUAUUUCCAGAGGCAAUAUUAUGAGCAGCUGGUAAGGGCAAAAGUCAUGCAAUAAGGGACUGUGGGAAUAUUAAGUGAGUAGAUGGACUGGGGGGUGCUUGAGAGGAGUAAUCAAAAGAGGAGGAUUUGGUGCUUCUGAAAAAGAAACACUACGAAGCAUAGGCUGUUCUUCCCAGAAAUCAUUUGGCGUGUCCACAAAAUGGGUGUGGGUUGGUAGUAAAGGAUGAUCUUGCUUGUGAAGAAUUCAGUAGCAUCCCACGAGAUCCUUAGAACAAAAGUUUUUUGAGAAUUCCUUUUUGUAAGUAAGCCAUCCUAAUGCUGUUAUAGUUAUGUUGGACAUCUGCUUGGGCUUUGAGGAUUACCUCUUCCUCGAGGCCAGCUUCAGGGUGUAGAACAUGAAUCCUGUGGGAUGCAUAUUUUUAGUUUGGGUCAAAGCUGUGGUUGUGAGUGUAGGGUCACUUCAUUCUCAUAAGGAAUGACCCCAGAGAAGAAAGUAAGACCCACUCGUAAUGUUAGGGUCAGGAACUCUAAUUAUGGGCAGAUAUGUAAUUCUGUCCAUUAUGGUUCUCAUGUACGAGCCCUUUCUUCUCUCAUAGCACAGAAGGUUCCCCUGAAGAGGCCUCCAUCUGUUCUCUUCUUUCUGCCAUGUACUUAUGUAGACAUAGGUGUUGCAGUGAGGCUAUUCAGAUAGAAUGUGAUUCUCCCCUUCCCCCAGGCCGGAAAGAUAUACAAGAUCCAUGUAAUGGUCCACUCAGAACCAGGUGUGAUUGGCAAAAGGCCAAGAACAUUGUGUGAUGAUAACAAUAAACGAUAGAAAAACAAGGACAUCUAGCAGUCUUCUGGUAUUGAGAGAUUGAUGCAGCGCUGAGUCAGUAUGAACAGAGCAAUAAACAUAACAUGGUGAACCAAAGAUGUGCAUCAGUAUGAGUGAAUCCCAUCUGCGUCAAAGCACACUAAGCAGUGAAGUUCAUAAACGAUGCAUCAGAUGUUCCCUCCAAGUCAGUGAAUGGUUUGUCCAGUCUUCCUUUAGUACCUAGCUGGUACUUUAAAUAACAGUAAUGGUAUGCUAUUAAGACAAGCUAUAGGAGAAGGACAAGCACCUUAUCUAUUAGGUGGCAAUCGUGCCCUUCCACUCCAAGACAUUCUAUGAUUCUGUGAUUAUCCAGUUUGUCAUUGAGCGACAUCUCUUUCUCCAUGCUGAGCCCAUGGAUGCAGAUUGUAAGAAGUGGAGUAUCUGGCUGAUGAUGCAUGGCUCAGUCAUCCCAGCAGAUCACCCCAGUGACUCAUUGGGCAGUGGGUGGGAACAUCCCAGGCCAGACUUCUCCUGAAGAGCUGGCACAAUAACACAGCACUCCACAAAGCCUGGAGCUCUGAAUGCUUUCCAAGAUUGUACUUUCUUUUUUCCUUGAAAACGGUUUAUCUGUCUGAAAGGCUUCCCUCUAUUCUUGUCUCUGGUUUUACUAGCUGGAUUUGCUGGUUUUAGAGUGAAGAGCUCAUUAAUGUACUUCACCGACAUCAUGAUUUCUGCUUUCAGAACAGACUGAUAACAGAUGCUGUAUGCACCCAAACUUUCUUAGUACAAACUUGCCCUAAUUUUUAAAUUAACUUGUCACAGCCUAGGGUCACUUCUCAUCUGGUGACUUCUGUAGAAACACGAAGAAUUUGGGAUCAUCCAUUCUGUGAUUCGCCUUUCUAUCCCUCAUAGAGAUUUGGAAAUUUGAUGCUGUAGAUUGUUUAUUAAAUACAAUUUCCUCAUCUUGACUCUGUCAACCAGAAAUCAGGUGAAAUGAGAGGACACAUGCACCCUUGGUUCAAUGACGUUGGUCUAACUCCAUGAGCAAGAAGUCAUCUGCACUAUCUCAGUACAUCAGUUCCUCCAAUGUUAGCACACCAUUCCUUCUAGAGAGAUGAUAAAUCACUAUAUCGAGCACUCAGGGGACACACACCACGUUCCUGGUCCCUUUCAGUAAGCUGCCACAAAAAUACCAGGCCUCUGAUAGCUUGUAAAGCACUUAAUAAAAAGGCCCAACAUAUUUGAAAAUGCUGCCAUUCAUCUUAUUAAGCAAUAUCAAUCUUCUGAUAUUUAAUACCAUUAAAAAACAUCCACUUGCAAGUGAUGGCUUGUAUCAGGAAUGGUGUGGUGAGCAGGACUAGAGAAGUCAUCCUGCCUCUGUACUCGGCAUUGGUGAGGCCUCACCUCGAGUACUGUGUUCAGUUUUGGGCAUCUCCAUACAGA